AUUAAUAUGUAUGUAUUAAUCUGUAAUAUAAUAAUAAAGAUAGAGAUUAUGCAAUGGUUAAGAUCUAUAAAUAUAUACAUAGAUCUAAUUUUAUUAAUAUAUUAAUUCAUGAGAAAAAUUUGGGCAUUUCAUAUUACAUUCAUAAUUUUGUGUUAAAUUCGUAUUAUAAAGUUAUUUUCUGAUUUGUUUGUGGCACAUAAAGACACUGUAUCCAAUAAUUUAUAUAAACGAUUAUAAACAAAGACCUUAACAUAUGUUGACAAAGACUUAACAAAUAAAUUUGUGUUAAAAGUUAUUUAUGUUAUUUGGAGGGAAUACUUGGGCUUUAUAUGUAGCCGAAAAAUUGCUCACGGAUGACAUCUGAAGCAUUAGGAUGUGACAUGAGAGGAGAUUGUGGAGAAUAUGAAUGGUAAGAUGGAAGGUAUAGAUCUGACACCAUAUAUCGGCUACAUAUUGGCUACAAUUAACAGACUUAUUAUUUAAACACAAACCUUCUUGAUCAAGUAUAUCUUCGAUAUAAUAAAUUUUUGAAUCGAUUUCAUAAAUAUGCCCAUUUCAUAAAAUUUGUCAAUGUCAGUUUUAAUUUUCUAAUUAUAAAUAUAUAUGUAUAUAUAGACAUUUUCUAUUUUAUUCUCUAUUAUUAGUUUGAUUUU